ACUUCAUCCCCUGGUUGAGAAAAAACUACACCACAUCAGUUGUGCUGAUGAACUAAGUUCCUCCGUGUUCACAUCACCGGGGACCACACAUGGCCCAUCCACACUGAUGCUGUGCUAAAGAAGGCUCAUCAGUGUCUUUUCUUCCUUAUGGCUAUCAGGCAUCCUGUCAGGAUGUCUAGCUGAGGAAGUUCAGUGUGAGCCCCAAAACCAAAAAUCAUUACUCUUACAGCACAGGAGGAACUAAGUCUAAGUAAGACUGUGGAGAACAUCCUGUCUGGCUGGAUCCCUGCCUGGUAUAGGAACAGCACCACCUUCAACUGCAAAGCUUUGCAGAGAGUGAUAAGAACUGCACAGAACAUUGUUAGAGGUGAGCUUCCCUCCCUCCAGGACAUCUACACCAGGUGGUGUGUAAGGAAAGCAUGGAGGAACAUCAGAGACUCCAGCCACCCGAGCCAUGGACAGCUCUCACCGUUACCAUCAGGCAGAUGUUAUCGCAAAACCUGCACCAGCAGACUGCGAGACAAGUUCUUUCCACAGAGACAUGGAAGAAGAUGAUUAUGUUAGGGACAUGGAUAAGCAAGCAAGAGGAAGAAAACCUGGAGAGCUCUCAUGAUAGGGAAACUGGAUGUGAUUCUGUGUUUCUCAAGACAUUUCACCAUGCAUGCAUUUGUGUGGCUUCAUCAUUUGGGAACUGAUUAAUAUAAUAUGGGUUUUAACAUAACCCAUUUUUAUUUCUCUUGAAUAUCAUUUGUCUUUAUAUGCUACUUUAGCUGUAUUUAUGCUGUAUUUUCCAGUAAAGUGUUGUACAUAGUGUUAGAUAAUAAAGUAUGGUGAAUAUUCUGUAUUAAGGAUGGUGUUUGGUAAAUACACAAUUUGAUUUUGUGAAAAAUACAUAAUUAUCAUGAUUGUUUUAAUUGAGACUGAAUGGCACAUUGGCCUAGUCUUACUAGUCUUACUGAAUGGCACAUUGGCCUUGUUGAAUAGUACAAUGAAGUGUCAAUGUGUAUUGCUUGUUUAAAUUGUUGUCUUUGUUUACUGUCAACACUGUGUUCUUGUUCUGAUUAAAUUAACAGAGAAGCCCA